rnacentral:rRNA from 1 species
CCUACGGGUGGCAGCAGUAGGGAAUUUUCGGCAAUGGGGGGAACCCUGACCGAGCAACGCCGCGUGAACGAAGAAGUUAUUCGUAAUGUAAAGUUCUUUUAACAGGGAAGAAAGAGAAAUUUGACGGUACCUGAAGAAUAAGCUCCGGCUAACUACGUGCCAGCAGCCGCGGUAAUACGUAGGGAGCGAGCGUUAUCCGGAAUUAUUGGGCGUAAAGGGUGCGUAGAUGGCAUAGUAAGUCUUUUGUAAAAAUGCUGGGCUAAACCCAGUAGGGCAAAAGAUACUGCAAAGCUAGAGUAUGACAAAGGCAAGUGGAACUACAUGUGUAGCGGUAAAAUGCGUAGAUAUGUGUAAGAACACCAGUGGCGAAGGCGGCUUGCUGGGUCGGUACUGACAUUGAGGCACGAAAGCGUGGGGAGCGAACAGGAUUAGAUACCCUGGUAGUC